AUUAUAUAAAAUAUAUUAGAAUAAUAUAAAUAAUGUAUUAGUAUAAUAAAUACAUUUCAAAAUAAAAAUGUCUUAAAGUGAAAUGUGUUUGAUAAGUGUAGUUUUGAUAAAAUAAUCGAUACAAAACAAUUUGAUUUCUUAAAAAAUAUUUUGUGGUUUUACUAGACAAAUAUUAAAAAUAAUAUAAAAUAUAAAAUUGGUUUUGAUUUUUGAGUUUUAGAGAUAUAAGAUUUGUUCGGGUAAUUGGUAGGAUCCAG
rnacentral:lncRNA from 1 species